rnacentral:rRNA from 1 species
AACGAACGCUGGCGGCAGGCUUAACACAUGCAAGUCGAACGGGCCCUUCGGGGUCAGUGGCAGACGGGUGAGUAACGCGUGGGAACGUGCCCUUCAGUUCGGGAUAACCCAGGGAAACUUGGGCUAAUACCGGUUACGUGCGAGAGCAGAAAGAUUUAUCGCUGAAGGAUCGGCCCGCGUCUGAUUAGCUGGUUGGUGGGGUAAUGGCCCACCAAGGCGACGAUCAGUAGCUGGUCUGAGAGGAUGAUCAGCCACAUUGGGACUGAGACACGGCCCAAACUCCUACGGGAGGCAGCAGUGGGGAAUAUUGGACAAUGGGCGCAAGCCUGAUCCAGCCAUGCCGCGUGAGUGAUGACGGCCUUAGGGUUGUAAAGCUCUUUCGCACGCGACGAUAAUGGCGGUAGCGUGAGAAGAAGCCCCGGCUAACUUCGUGCCAGCAGCCGCCGUAA